GACGAACGCUGGCGGCGUGCUUAACACAUGCAAGUCGAACGGAAAGGCCCUGCUGUUGGGGGGUGCCCGAGUGGCGAACGGGUGAGUAACACGUGAGUAACCGGCCCUUGACUUUGGGAUAACUUCAGGUAACUGGGGCUAAUACCGGAUAGGAGCUCCUGCUGCAUGGGGGGGGUUGGAAAGUUUCGGCGGAUGGGGAUGGACUCGCGGCUUAUAAGCUGGCUGGUAGGGUAGUGGCUUACAAAGGCGUUGACGGGUAGCCGGCGUGAGAGGGUGAGCAGCCACAUUGGGACUGAGACACGGCCCAAACUCCUACGGGAGGCAGCAGUGGGGAAUAGUGGACAAUGGGCGAAAGCCUGAUCCAGCCAUGCCGCGUGAGUGAUGAAGGCCCUAGGGUUGUAAAGCUCUUUUGUGCGGGAAGAUAAUGACGGUACCGAAAGAAUAAGCCCCGGCUAACUUCGUG
rnacentral:rRNA from 1 species